GCCGCUGUGGCCGGCGCGGGACCCCUUCUACCUGCAGUCGCCGGGCUUGCCCCGCGCUGUGCGCAGCCUCGGAGCCCUCGCCCGCGGCGCUGUAGCAAGGAGACUUAGCCCUGGAACCUGGAGUUCACUGUUCCAAGAAAUGGUUUACUGAAGUCUAAUGCUGCACGAGUCAGCCAAGGGAAGGACCCUAAAACAUACGGCCUGAUUGUUGUCAAUGACUUCAGUAAGAGGCUGGCAUUUAUUUCUGUUCUAACCAGCCACUUCGUAACUGUGGAGAGUGACUAUGCAUACUUGUUUGUCAGCAAAACCAAGGAACAAGAGCUAUGGCAGUUGACAAAGUCUGUCUGACUCCAGGGUGUUUUUGUUGCGUAUCAUCUUCAGGAACCGUCUCCAUUUCAUCUCAUCGACAGUGUGGUACCUUUUACCAUUUGAUAAAGAUUAAAGACAUGUUCUUUGGUCACCAACCAGAACUUAACAUCUGCUGGAAUAAGGUCAGAGAUUAUUUCAUUCACAGCUGAGGAAAAUGAAAUUUCCAUUUUAUUUGGUGCCUUGUAUAGGGAAUAGACAAACUCUUACAGAAAUGUGUGAGUGAACAGAGAUUGAGUUUAUUUAACAGAAACUCAUGGUUAUGGCGAGUGACCCGACGUGAUCGGAGGGGGCCGGAGCCGCAGAGGAACUCAUGACGGGCUAUACCAUGUUGCGCAGCGGGGGAGUGGGGAAUGGAGGUCAGACGUGUAUGCUGCGCUGGUCCAACCGAAUCCGGCUCACGUGGCUCAGCUUUACCCUCUUCAUCAUUCUGGUGUUCUUCCCCCUCAUUGCUCACUAUUAUCUCACCACCCUGGACGAGGCCGAUGAGGCGGGCAAGCGGAUUUUCGGUCCGCGGGCUGGUAACGAGCUGUGCGAGGUGAAGCACGUGCUGGAUCUCUGCCGGAUCCGCGAGUCAGUGAGCGAAGAGCUCUUGCAGCUGGAAGCCAAGCGGCAGGAGCUGAACAGUGAGAUCGCCAAGCUGAACCUGAAGAUUGAAGCCUGUAAGAAGAGUAUUGAGAAUGCCAAGCAGGACCUGCUGCAGCUCAAGAAUGUUAUCAGCCAGACGGAGCAUUCGUACAAAGAGCUGAUGGCUCAAAAUCAGCCCAAACUUUCCCUGCCUAUCCGAUUGCUCCCAGAGAAGGACGACGCUGGCCUCCCUCCCCCAAAGGUCACGCGAGGCUGCCGGCUGCACAGCUGUUUCGACUAUUCCCGCUGCCCUCUCACCUCCGGCUUCCCGGUCUACGUUUAUGACAGUGACCAGUUUGCCUUUGGCAGCUACCUGGAUCCCUUGGUCAAGCAGGCUUUUCAGGCUACAGCACGAGCCAACGUUUAUGUCACAGAAAAUGCGGACAUCGCCUGCCUGUAUGUGGCAUUAGUGGGAGAGAUGCAGGAGCCAGUAGUGCUGCGGCCCGCCGACCUUGAGAAGCAGCUGUAUUCUCUACCGCACUGGCGGGCAGAUGGACACAACCAUGUCGUCGUCAGCCUGUCACGGAAGUCAGGCACGCAGAAUUUACUGUACAACGUCAGUACAGGCCGCGCCAUGGUGGCCCAGUCCACUUUCUAUGCUGCGCAGUACAGACCUGGCUUUGACUUGGUAGUGUCACCACUAGUCCAUGCCAUGUCGGAGCCCAACUUCAUGGAGAUCCCGCCACAGGUGCCAGUUAAGCGGAAGUAUCUCUUCACCUUCCAGGGUGAGAAGAUCGAGUCCCUGAGGUCCAGCCUUCAGGAGGCCCGCUCCUUUGAGGAGGAGAUGGAGGGUGACCCACCAGCUGACUAUGAUGACCGUAUCAUUGCCACCUUAAAGGCCGUACAGGACAGCAAGCUCGAUCAAGUCUCGGUAGAAUUUACCUGCAAAAACCAGCCUAAACCCAGCCUGCCUACUGAGUGGGCUCUGUGCGGGGAGCGCGAGGACCGCCUGGCAUUGCUGAGGCUCUCCACCUUCGCCCUCAUCAUCACCCCCGGGGACCCGCGGCUGCUCAUCUCGUCUGGGUGCGCGACGCGGCUCUUCGAAGCCCUGGAGGUCGGUGCUGUCCCGGUUGUGCUGGGGGAGCAAGUACAGCUUCCUUACCAGGACAUGCUGCAGUGGAAUGAGGCGGCCCUGGUGGUGCCUAAGCCGCGCGUCACCGAGGUUCACUUCCUGUUACGAAGUCUCUUGGACAGCGAUCUGCUGGCUAUGAGGCGGCAGGGCCGCUUUCUCUGGGAGACUUACUUCUCAACUGCUGACAGUAUUUUUAACACCGUGCUGGCUAUGAUUAGGACUCGCAUCCAGAUUCCAGCUGCUCCCAUCCGGGAAGAGGCGGCAGCUGAGAUCCCCCAUCGUUCAGGCAAGGUGGCUGGGACUGACCCCAACAUGGCCGACAAUGGGGACCUGGACCUGGGGCCGGUGGAAACCGAGCCGCCUUAUGCCUCACCCAAAUACCUCCGCAACUUUACUCUGACUGUCACUGACUUUUACCGCAGCUGGAACUCCGCUCCAGGGCCUUUCCAUCUUUUCCCCCACACACCCUUUGACCCCGUGUUGCCCUCAGAGGCCAAAUUCUUGGGCUCGGGGACUGGAUUCCGGCCUAUCGGUGGGGGAGCGGGGGGUUCUGGUAAGGAGUUUCAGGCUGCCCUUGGAGGCAACGUUCCACGGGAGCAGUUCACGGUAGUGAUGUUGACUUACGAGCGGGAGGAAGUGCUUAUGAACUCAUUGGAGAGACUGAAUGGCCUCCCGUACCUGAACAAGGUAGUGGUGGUCUGGAAUUCGCCCAAGCUACCGUCAGAGGACCUUCUGUGGCCUGACAUCGGCGUCCCCAUCAUGGUGGUCCGGACUGAGAAGAACAGUCUGAACAAUCGAUUCCUGCCCUGGGAUGAAAUCGAGACCGAGGCCGUCCUGUCUAUUGAUGAUGAUGCUCACCUCCGCCACGAUGAAAUCAUGUUUGGGUUUCGGGUGUGGCGGGAAGCACGGGACCGCAUUGUUGGGUUCCCUGGCCGUUACCAUGCGUGGGACAUCCCUCACCAGUCCUGGCUGUACAACUCCAACUACUCCUGUGAGCUGUCCAUGGUGCUGACAGGUGCUGCCUUCUUUCAUAAGUAUUACGCCUACCUGUAUUCUUACGUGAUGCCCCAGGCCAUCCGAGACAUGGUGGAUGAAUACAUCAACUGUGAGGACAUUGCCAUGAACUUCCUUGUCUCCCACAUCACCCGGAAGCCCCCCAUCAAGGUGACCUCACGGUGGACUUUCCGAUGCCCGGGAUGCCCUCAGGCCCUGUCGCACGAUGAUUCCCACUUUCAUGAGCGGCACAAAUGUAUCAACUUCUUUGUCCAGGUGUACGGCUAUAUGCCCUUACUGUACACUCAGUUCAGGGUGGACUCUGUGCUCUUCAAGACCCGCCUGCCCCAUGACAAGACCAAGUGCUUCAAGUUCAUCUAGGGGCAUGGCUGGUUCGGGGAGAGGAUAGCAGAGUGAGGGAGGUGGUGCCUAAGGUUCCUAGACUUGAAGGACCUCGGGGCCGUCCGCUGGGUGGGUGGCCCAAGCCCUCUGCUGCAAGAGGCAGCAGGGAGUGCGGAAAAGAAAUCGCCUUCUUUCUCUUGAAGUCGGCCACACUGGUCCUGGAACCCUGGCCAGAGGUCACUGGGGUUCCCUACACAGGGCACUGACCGAUAGCGUACACUGAGGGCCGGGGCGGCUCUGGAGAGUCACCCACGCAGUUCAUAAUAAGCCCAGGACAGCUGGUUUGUGGUUUUUAAAUUCAGUAACAACUAUUAAUAUUAUUUAAAGAGAAAAAGUUUCAGAUUUGCCAUUCAAGGCUUAUUUAUAUAUAUGUGUGUAUAUAUACAUAUAUAUGUGUGUGUGUGUAUAUAUAUAUAUAUAUAUGUGCGCACGCACACUCACAUACAUAUACAUAUACAUAUACAUAUAUAUAUGUAGUGGGGUGGGGGUGACAUUUCUGCCUGUUCCGCAAGGCUCCUGAUGCUCUCUGUUUUGGUGGAGACGGAUCCUGGCCUUGCGGUAUCUGGCUCAUCCUUAAAGGUCACUUCCGUCCUCCCAGGAGCAUCUGUGGUGCCGGGCUUGGCCCUCGUGGGACCUUGGGCCACAUAAGGCCUGUCAGUUCGUUUCCCCCUUUCUGUUGCCCGCCAGUGGUCUGGAGCUCGUACUCUGCUGUCACCUGAGUUACUGGGGACGACCUGUACCUUUGGGAACAGCUGAGCCUGUUGUGCUGAAUUCCGAGGCGCGCAGAUCUGUCAGAAGUCGGCUGGCCCAGAGGUGUCCCUGCAGGAGAAGGCCGAGGCGGGAGGGCGGCUGAAGACGGCACCCCCGGGCGGCUGCCUCUGUGAGGCCCUCCUCUCGGAAAGCAUGCUGGGCUCUGCUUCCAGGCUGUCCUGAAGAUCGUCUCUUGUAUAAGAGAACAGAAAACGGGCUGGCUGCAUGUCCAGGGGUGGCCUGGAGGGGUCUGCAGGCUGGCCUGCUGUCUGGGGUGUAGAACAGCGCGUAUCCUCUGGAUCCCCACCCGGCUGGCCGGGGAGUCUCACGGCAGGGCGCCUGCCGUGCCAUAAAUACCUUGGUGAAAUUCACCUUCCCUCCCGCCUUUGUCUGGACCCACAUCCUGUGUUACCCAUAGUUUUUGGACCCCACGUGCCAGGUUGGUCCCAGGACCCCCAGGUUUGGUAUGCAGCAGGCCAGUGAGGCCCUGCACUCUGCGGGCUUAAGCUGAAACCCACCCUGAGCCUUCACAGGCUUUCACACCCGACGUUACUACUUUCCCCUCUACGUUUGCAUUUCUGUUCUCUGGGCUGAAAUGGAAAUAAGCUAAUUUUUUUUUUUUUCUGGUGGCAGCAUUAGGGGAGCCGAAGAGGGUAUUAGUGGCAUUUGGCAGGGAUUCAGCCAAUGACUUCUACCAUUUUUCUGGAUUCCACUUUCUUCCGGUGAAGUUGAGAAUAGGUGGUUUCCUGCCACUGAACAAGCUCAGGUCUGUCCUGGCCAUGCUCAUGCCUUAAGCCAGUUCCGUCCUCCCCAGACCUCGAUACCUGUGCUUCUCUUCCUUGGGAGCACGUUCUCCUCUGACCCGCCUGUACACAUAGGUUCUCUGCAAGUAUCUGCAAAUACUGUUCUGAAGCCAGACUCUGUCCUGUAGAUGCCACCCACCUAUAGGGCCAGCUUGACCUAAGGGACUGCUCGUCAGCAAACAGGAGCCUGCUCCCAGAGCCUGUGCCCUACAGGUUCCCACUGGCAUCUUCUUGUAGCUCUGCUACUCAGGCAGCUGCCUGGGAAACUGAGUCAUGCUUGUUAGCAACCUGGCAAAGGGUCCUCCUGGCGUCCUAACUGUCUAACCAGCCCUUCCUUGACUUCACACUUUAUUCUUUUUAGCAGUAGCCUUCUUCCCGCCGGGGAGCCAAAGAGUAUGGUGUUUUGAGCUGUGUGGCUGCUAUUUUUACCUUGUUUCUUUUAAUGUGAGGAACUCAUCAACUGACUUCCAGUGGGGCCUGCUGAGAAGUAAGCCGUCUGUGUUAGGAGCCCUAAGUGGAGCCAGGCGGCUGGGUCCCUGAGGGCUGUCGGGAGCUCUGGGAGUAGCUGAAUGGUCUGAGGCUAAGGAUGACAUCAAGGUGGCCUGCAGGGCGGGUUAUGACGUCAGAGCUGCAGACAAGGAGAGCGCCGUUUGGAUGUGAAUGACACUAACGAGGGGCUCCAGAAGCAGGCCCUGGCGCCCGGCCGUGUUCCUGAAGGGUGCUCCGCAGUGGCAGGAGGCAGGGUGGGUUAGGAGAGGCCCAGCAGCACACGUAGCGUGCUGAUCAGUCACCUGGGGGACCCCUGGACAUAAAAGAGCUCUGCGGACCCGCAUGGGCGUUCCCCGCUGUGCUCAGGCACCUCCUUGUCGCCUGGUCUUUGCGCCCAGGGCCCAGGACAUCCCUGGCCUCCAGCUAGCCAGUCUGCCCUUGACGGAGCAAGCGCCUCCCUGGGUGCCCCGAACCAGUCUGAGCUCCGCACCCAGGCCGGGCUCUCCAUCUGGUGUGGACGGCACCCCUCCGGUCGGCAGGGCCUGACGGGCAGGCAGAGCCGGCUCUCCAGUGGCUGCUGCGCCUCUCCGGGGCUCCUGCUUGGAAAUGAUGGUAUUUCGAAGGGAGAAGCUCUUUGACCUCCAUGCCGUGUCCAUCCACCCCACCCCUUUUCCAGUCAUGAGCACAAUGGUCUUACAUUGGAUUUUUGUAAAAAAAAAAAAUAAAUGGAGACUUUAACUCAAGCA